GAACCCCCUAAUAGAAUUGCUUGUUGUUUUUAUUUUAUGCAUCAUCAUGGCAUAUGCAUCAUAUCAUCCAUGUUUUAUUUAACCAAAUAAAAUUAUUUUAUAAACUCUUAUUAUUUUAUUUUCCCUCUCAUAUGGUUUCUAUAAUAAACCAUUCUCUUUGUCUUUUCUUUUAAAAUAAAACCCUAACCUAUCUAGCCUAGCAGCCCAUCUUUCCUUUCUCCCAUGGGCUCCUCUUCUCUCCCUCUUCUUUCUCCCUGGUGGCCCGAGCCAGCCCAAGCCCACCUCAUCAUUCAGUCGUACCCCUUCGAGCUAAGAGGCUUGGCUUCGUUGUCUUCUUCUCCAAAAUGAGCACGCACAUGGCGUGAACCUCCUGUGGUCCUCCCCCUCUCAACUACCACCACGCCACCACCUCCCCUCCCCUUUUAUUUCCGCAUCCCACACACUCCUGGAAACCCUAGCCCUUCUCCCACCCUCGCGCCGCCAUCUUCCUCCUCUUCUUUCCAUCUUACUCCUCUCUCUGUGAACAAAACGAAGGGGAAAAACCACAGUACCUCCUCCACCCACCAUGGCACCACCGCUACACACCACCCCUCGCCGUUCUGAGGGCACCGGGAGAUGCGCCUCGUUCUCCUCUUCAACCUGGUGUAAGGAAUCGAGCCGGGAGCCCUCUAAUCAAGCGCACGGUCGCCGAUUCUCCGCGUCGGUCGGUGUGCUUCUUCUUCGAUUCCGGCCGCCCUCAUCCUCCUCCGGCCAAACCGAGGACACCUCCGGCUUCCUCGAAUCAAGUCGCAUCUUCGAAGCCCUCGCCCUCGUCCUGGUUCGCCCCCAGUCGUCUUCCCCGUGUCCGACCUGAUCUCUAUUCGCCAUGGCCGUCAUGGCCGAGCUCCGCCUCUCUCUGCUUCUAGUUGUCGGGCGACCCACCAACAUCACCAUCUGACGAGCAGCGAAGUGAUCUCAGGCAGCUAUUCUUCAACUUAAGCGGGGCUUUGCAAAAUCAAAAGCAGCAGUCAGCCCAGUUGAUCCAUACAUGGGCCUUGGCCCAGACCCACUGGCGCAUCCAUCGCCCACUUGGCCCAAGCGCCGAUUGCAGCCAGAAGUGGGCCGGCCCACACGCGCCAGCCUUCAUCCCGCCCGCCAGGUAGCAGGCCUCCUCACAGAUCCAGCCCAAACUCUUUCUCUGCCUUUUCAUGUAUUUUGCAAAUCUGUCUAUUUUAUAUCUUUCAAACUAUAACUCCAAAUAUAAAGUGUUAUAUAUGAAAAUUAAUCAGAAAAAUGUGCUGAACAUGAAUAUGCCAUCCAUACAUCUGUUUGCAUUUUGCAUCGUGUCGAGACGUGAUAGUUAUGCAUGUUCACCUAACAUAUAUGCGGAGUAUUUCGGAUACCGACUAUGGUUUUCCCCGCUCCGUUUAAUAUUGAAGUAGCGCACCCCUGCCAUGUUAUGCCGUGCUAAUCAACACUUAAAUUUGCCGGUAGAAAUGCAACUCCAACCUAAUUUGCUUGUCCGGGGUUCCGACUCCGAUUAAAUUGGAUAAGUGCAUCGCAUCAUAUCUGCCAUGUCAUGCAUAUCAUCUUGAGCAUGCCGACUUUUUAUCCGUAGUAGUAAGACUUGCAUGCGUUGUGUGUUCCAGCAUUUGCUUCUUCUCGGAUAGGAUCGCGAAGUGGUGAUGUGAGAUACGACGAGUUCUCCGACAAGUUCUUCUGCAGCUUUUCACAG